AACCUACUCCCUCCGUCCCAAAAUUAUUGUCUUAGGUUUAUCUAUAAAUGGAUGUAUCUAAAUACUAAAACGUGACUAGAUAAAUUCAUAUAUAGACAAAUUUAAGACAAGAAUAUUGGGACAGA
rfam:Hordeum vulgare subsp. vulgare, WGS project CAJW01000000 data, contig: morex_contig_2560593